CCUACGGGGUGCUGCAGUGGGGAAUAUUGGACAAUGGGCGAAAGCCUGAUCCAGCCAUGCCGCGUGUGUGAAGAAGGCCUUCGGGUUGUAAAGCACUUUCAGUGGGGAAGAAAGCCUUGGGGCUAAUACCCUCGAGGAAGGACAUCACCCACAGAAGAAGCACCGGCUAACUCCGUGCCAGCAGCCGCGGUAAUACGGAGGGUGCGAGCGUUAAUCGGAAUUACUGGGCGUAAAGCGCGCGUAGGCGGUCUGAUAAGCCGGUUGUGAAAGCCCCGGGCUCAACCUGGGAACGGCAUCCGGACCUGUCAGGCUAGAGUGCAGGAGAGGAAGGUAGAAUUCCCGGUGUAGCGGUGAAAUGCGUAGAGAUCGGGAGGAAUACCAGUGGCGAAGGCGGCCUUCUGGACUGACACUGACGCUGAGGUGCGAAAGCGUGGGUAGCAAACAGGAUUAGAUACCCCUGUAGUC
rnacentral:rRNA from 1 species